AGAGAUCUUGAAAUAAUUAAAUAAUAAAUGGAUAAUAAUUUUAAUCCUUUUUAAAAAUGUAUUUAUAGUUUUGAAAAACAGGUGUAAAAAUUUAAAUGAAGCAUGGAUUAUGAGACACUCUACAUCUAUUACAUUGGAGCAUGUCAACCAGACUGGAAAAAAAAAAUCGGCAGCAUUGUCUGUUUUCAAACACGACGACAUUUUGGAAAAUACUUCAGAUUAUGGAAACGGUUGGGCGGCACUUCUUAUUUGUGAUUGGUCAGAAGUUAACGGUUUGCAUCUGACGUCAGGGAAAUACGGCUGGCGACAGGAAGUGAUUCUCUACACGUGCGGGAAAACCGCAGGCUCUCGAAAAUGCUAAUGGUUAGCGUCACGACGCUAAAUAAAACGUCGCAGAUAAAUGGCUUCCGAGCUUCAUCUGUGGCCGUGUGUGAGCAGUGACCACUCAAAGUGUUGGAGUUUAUGCCGCUGUAAAAGUAACGUUGGUUGACAACAAAGAGUUUUACAAGGUACAACGUUAUCCACUCACUUGUAGCUGAGGAAACUAACUUAGGUCUCCCAGGAGGACUUCAGAUCUGACUGUUUCAGUCCGCACUCUUCUCGUCAAUUUUCCAGCACCACAUCUUUGGCUGCCUCCGGCCUUGUAAGAGUAAGUUUUUUACACUCUCCACCCAUUACUCAAAUAUCCAUCCAUA